GGGGUGGGGGGGGGGGGUCCGUGUUUGCGAUCUGAACCUUUGGUACCUACAAGGAGAGUGUCUCACCGAACGGUAGCUAAGAUCUCAGCAGAACCGCGCGGAAGUGAGGAGUCGCGGCCAAAGGCGCCCACCGGAGCCUCCUCUCCGGGCCGGACCCCAGCCCGAGCCGCGAAAGGAGCCCCCCGCCCGGAUCACAGCUGCUGCAGCUGCCGCUGAAAUUCGCUGUGGCCGCUGCCUCUUCCCGCUUUAAUCCCAGACCUCCAGUCAUUGGGCAGCUCCUCAGAGGCAAGAAGUCAACACCAUGGCAACCCGACAAGCCUAUCAAAUCACCGGCUGGCGUGACAGCAGCAACACUGCAGGCUGGAGUGGGCUGGGCAGAGGAGCCGAGUGGCCACUACGCUCAGGUUGCCAUGACAACGAGGAUUGGACAAAUACAGUUUGCUGGCACCUAUAAUAGUGGAAACAGGAUGUCAGAGAGGUAUCAUCUGAUGGAAAUGUUGAUUCUUGACCUUCUCUCUGAUACUUUGUCUGCCAAGGCAAAAGGAAGCAAAUAAAUCUGUAGUGUUGACAUCUCCACACUGAACCAUUGCUCCCUAAAUGUACCUCAGGAUGGAAAUAAGCAACAAAACGAUACCAUCAUUUUUAUGUGCCUCGUAUGCAAAACAAAAUUCAUUCAUCUGUGUGGUCUACUGAUGGGAAAUAAAAUCAGAUAUUUCACUUCCAACAAGCAAAAGAAAAAUCGAUUGUGAUUCCAAGAAGACAUGAACUCAACUGAAAAUCACAUGGAAUGAAAAAUAACCAUGGAGGGACAACCAUUUUGCUCUGGAAGAGAAACCUUACCCGUACACUUUCCUGAAAUUAUUUUGAGCACAUGGUCUUAGGUUUUUAGUCUUUGAACUUUUCCUGUGACACAGGAACAAACUCAACAAUCCAAAACUGCAGAAGUCAGACAGCGAGAAACUCUGAUAAAAGUGGCCAUCUUUGACAGCUGACAAACAUGAGUAUGAUGAAACGUGGCAAAUAUGGAUGUGGUUCAUGAAUAUGCGUAUGUCUUUUGAGAGGACCUGACCAAUGAGAUGUAUGAUAGAUCACUGAUAAAUCUCUCUCUUUAUUUUUAACUUCGAAAAGAGGAAGGAAAUACCGAGAGUUGAGAAGAGAAAUACUAUCAAUUAGCUGCAUUCUUAGUUGUUAAAAAUUACACCAAGUCCUUUUGAGUAAGCUCCCUAUCUGAAAUUGUCUCCUUGCUUUACUUCUUUCCUUCUUUACUUUAUCUCUUCAUUUGGGAUGUCAGAUCCAAAAUGGCAAGGAUCUUGUAUGUUUUGUUUAUCACUUUAACCCAUUUCCAAUGUUGUGUAGGUGCCCGAUAAAAACUUGCUCAGUGAAGGAAUGCAAGAGAUUUAGAUUUUAAUCUAAGUAGCUGGAAGACCUUAGGAUAAUCACUUGACUUCUUGGAGGCUCAAUUUCUUCACUUUUAAAAUAGUGGCAUAGGGGGUGCCUGGCUGGCCCAGUGGGUAGAGCAUGCAACUCUUGACCUUGAGGUUGUGAGUUCAAGCCCUAUGUUGGGUGUAGAGCCUAUUUAAAUAAGAUAAAGAAUGAUAGCAUAGACUAGAUGGCUAAUGUUACUUGCAGCAGUAAUAUUCAUUGAUGGUAUGCAUGAUUCAGAUGUUCACAUGAUAACCAACUAAUGUUUUUUUUUUUUUUUACAGGAAACUUCACUUAUGUACAGAGUUUAUUGACCAAUCUUUUUUCUUAAUGAAACAUUUAUCCAAGAUCAAGUGAUUUAUGAUAUUAAUUAUCAAUGCUCUAAUUAGUGUCUACUUGUUGUUCCUGAUUAAACCAAGUUUUUUGUGUGAUGAAUCCAGUUUGAGCUAUUUAGAUGCCCAAAGAAGGUAAAAAUGAAAGAUUCUCUUACAUUCACACUGAAGGUUCUUUUAAAAUUUUUAAGUUAAUUUUUAAAAUGGUGAUUUUAAUUUCUACAGAUUUCUACAAAAUUCUAAAUUUAGAUUGAUCUCUUUGAUAGAGAAAAAGAGAAAACUGAGAGAUACCUAGUUGUUUCCAAAUUCAGCAGUGCUAUGAACAUCUUGGAUGAGUUGAUAUUAGAGGAAUCUUCAUUUAUCUCUUUUGGUAUUCUGUGUGAUGAAUGUAAAUACAAUAUUACACUGAAUACUUUUGAAUGGAUUUGUUAGCUGAUCAUAACUUCACUGCAUAGUCUGGUGAUUGAAUUUACAAUUGUGGAAAGAUAUUGCUGAUACUGGUGAACAACAGAUAGGUUCCUUUGGCCUCGUGAUGCUGUUUUAAUUUUUAAUUGUCCAUGUGUUUUUUGAGUGCCUGAGGACUGUACACAAUAUUUUAACAAGACCAACAUAUAGAAUUCCAAAUAAAUUUCAUUUCAAAUAUAAACACUUAACAGGUUGAUAGAAAUGUAAAAUAAAUUUUUAUAUAUUGAAAAUGACUAAAGUCUUUGGUUUUUGCUAUUGUAAUUACAAACAGGAAUGUGAAAAAUGAAUAAACACUGGAGGACAGCAAGUGCUAUAAUAUUCAUGUUUAAAGAACACUAUGUUCAUAUUAAAAACUAUGUUCUUUAGUUAGUUGAAUUUAUUUGCUGAGUCUCAAAUGUUAUUAGGCAUUGUUUGCAGAUUUCUAACUUCUAGGCAAAUGUAUAAAAAAUGGGGGCUUACUUGGAAAGCACUUAGGUGACUUAUUUUUAUUGAUAUGUCUUCCCUCUAGACCAUUGGAAAGUAAAAGUAGUCAAAACUAGAGUUCCAAAAAGGAAAAAAAAAAAAUGGAGCUAGUGAACUCUACUGAUGUUUAACUUCCUAUGAAUUUCAGCAUACAGUUGGCCCAUACAGGUUCCAUUAAAGUUAAUGGGAGUCGUAUGAACUAAUUCCCUUUGUAGGGUACUAAAAAUGUACCCUGCAGUAUUAAAAAGUCUGAACCUAAUUUUUACUUUCUCUUAACCUUGAUUAAGUUAUAUUAAAGAUAGAUACAUUCAUUAUCAUACCCAUAUAUAGUAAAGUUUAUACAAAAAUUUGAAAAUAAUCUAGUUGAGGGAGAGGCUGAAUUUAUAUGGGUCAAAGCAGAAUUUUAAUUAGGGUUGCAAAUAUGAGUGAUGCUUUCAUUAUAAUGAUAAAACAAGCAUGAGUAUCUGUAAUUUACCCUCCAGCUAUAUAAAUGGGAACUUAAACCUCAAUGUAUUCAAUAAAUGAAACAUUUUCAGAACACUUACUUAAAAUCAGGUCUACUUUUUAAUCAGUCAUGUUUUAAGUGAAUGCUUAUUAAUAGAUCAUUAAUAAAACAUGCCUACGCAAUGAGAUUUCAAGAAAGAUAUAAGAUGACUAAAAGACAAAGUAAAAAGAUCUAAUUGAUAAUUUUUAACUUUGUUUUAAACAAUUUAGUUUCAAUAAGUUACAUGUUUAUUUCAAAUUACAACUGAAUUCUAAAUCAUUUUUUCAGUUAUGUUUAUGAAGAUAAAACACUACAGAUAAUCUCGCCUGUGAAUUCAUGACCCUUUUAUAUACUACCUAAGUUCUUCCUGUUUUGCAAAACUGAAAUAUUAACCUCAUUUUUUUUCUCUUAAAUAAUUUCUGCCUGGCUUCUAUCAUUACCUGGGGGAAUGAAGUUAUAAGGUUUUUAUUGUUAAAGAAUGCGAAAAACAAAAAGAAAAAUAUUUACACGAAUAAGUACCCCACCAUCCAUUUUUCACUGAAAUCAGCAGCUAGGCUGCAAAACAGGGACAUGUACAAAAUAUUUCUUAAAUACAAAGAACACUGGAAAAAGGCAGGCAAUAUUGCAGAACGAUAAAUAAAGCAGAACAUUCUCCAAGGGUCCAGAAUUUGGUUUGGAUAACCUUCCAGAAGGCAAAAUUCUUACCCAAAGCCGAUAUAAACUGUAAUUAGGACUGAUCUUUUUAUGUUCUACAUUUAUCUUCUCUGGGUUGUUAUUACACGAUUCUCUGUGUCUAAAUUACAAUAGAAUCCCAGGAGUUUGGGUGGGGCUGAGGAGAAUAGUUACUAUUGUAAAUAAGUUCACAGUUUCCAAUUUAUUGAAACUGAUGUCAGGCACUUAGCUAUUGAACUUCAUCAGAUUUCUAGAGUACUUUCAGCUCAAGAUCCCAUUACUUAGAAUUCGCUUUGAAGCUUGCAACCUUUUCAGUUUUGUGCUGCAACUUGCUUCUGUGAUCUGCAGGCUUACAGCUGAAAGCUGUAAGCAUCCGAACUACGAGGGGCUCUUUGGACCCAUUGGAUUUCGGCUUUCCAGGCUGAUUUGUGGCACUGACCUUAAAGCAGCAGAGGCAGAAGACUUUUUUAGCUCUCACUAUUUAUAAGUUACUCCGGAAUGAGAAUGAAAAACUAAAAUGUGGUUCUUGGAGAUAUGCCUGGCAAUCCGGGCUAUUCCAACAGCUAACCAAGCCACAAAGCUCUGAUAGGUUUAGCACAAUUUCAAUCUGAAUUGUUCUGAUUCUUUAGCUAACUCUAGAAGGCACCACUUCUUCUCCACUUUUACGGACGUAAUAAGGCGUACCUUAAAUUAAAAAUAAUUUUCCCAUACAAAUAUCGUUUCUUUUUUUUUUAAUUUUGAAAAGAGUGAAAAUUGUGUUUAAGAUUUUUGCACUGCCUUUUGAGAUAACUAGAAAUACUCUAAGAGGCUUGGAUUAUUUGUCACUAGUGUAUACAAUGUGUUAUUGGUAUACUUAUGCUUUGUGGCUUUAUUAGAAGAACAGCAGGAUGAGUUGAGAAGUCUGACCCUCAGACUCUGAAUUAAGUACAAUGUGCCAAGAAACUAUAGUGACUCGAAAUGUUAUUCCUGCACAGUGUAUGUUGUGUUGGUGUUUAGCAGAAAAGCCAAAGUUUGCUCCUUAGGACAGAGCCUCUGUUGUGGGCUUUGUGUCUGAUACUCUUCUUUUUACCUCUCAAAUUCUGUGCCUCUACUUCUGAUGCAUGUCUUCAUGAGCCUGCUUUGGUUCCUGCUUAUUUCGUCCUUCUUCUGUAUCAGGUUAGAAAAGGGCUCUUCUCUUUCUUCCAUAGCAUCCCAAUUAUACUGAAAUUAAUUCAUUGGGAAACUGUCUCCUUCCUUAAAAUGUAAGUACCCUAAGGGUAGGGACCACGUUUCAUCAAUGUUUACAGCCUGUCUUACAACUGUGUUCAAACUUUACUGAGCAUGAUAGCAUGGAAUACAACAUGCUUCCGGAAAGUUCUCAGUCUUUUAAUCUAUAAUUGCCGCACAUUGAAUUUUUAAAUAGACCUAAUUUGCAUGAUAAAGCCUCUGUCAAGGAUGUUUCUUUCAUUUUAGUUAUUUCUGCCCAAAUUUGCUAUUCUAUAAUCCUGUACUAGGCUGACAGGUGAGCUUCUCUUUAUGCCCCCACCACACGAAAAUGUGUUCCACUAAAGCCUUCUGAGAAACAUGUCCUACAGGAUGCCUGCUGCUGGUGACCAUCUCCGGAUUCCCUGUACCCCUGAUGCAUGGUCCAAAUAUGUCAUGGAAGUGGAAGCCAGGGGUCCUGGCACAAAGAACCGACUUUACAGCUUCCCUGUUGCAGGACUGCGAGGUCUACAUUACCAUGUGUUAUGUGAUGAUUCAGUUCACCCCGAUUUGCCCUUUGGGAACUGCUGUGAAAACUUCUUUUGUACAGUAAAUCAUGACAGCAUUUGGCCUUCAUUUGAGGGUGAAUGCAUGGUUUAUAUAUUAAAGCCAUUUUUUUCCCUUUAGAAAUACCAUGUGGCAUCAAUUUGUUUGUAAGCACAAAUCAAAUGGCAGUUUGGGAUCCUCCAGAUGAUCCAGAAUAUGCUAUAUUAAGUUUUUAAAGGUUAUCAGAACAGUGAAAACCUAACACUGAAAAAAAUCAAGAGACUACCCGAAUCCCUAAGAAUGUAUCUAUAUACCAGCAAGGUCCUUGCACAUUUGGAGAAAACCUGAUCUGAGACUUUAAAAAACACCGAAGCGUUGAUAAUAUAUUUGACCUAUAACAAUAGGUAAAAAAUUAAUACCCUACUUAGAAAUGUGCACAUUUUCCGUGUGUGUGUGUAUGUGUGUGUGUGUGUGUGUGUGUGCAUGCAGAGCUGAAAUCUAUUUGUUCCGCCCAGCCAGCCCAAUUUUACCAUAUUGGUUUUCAAGCACACGUGAAAUUGGGGUAUAGAACUAGAAGCAGGGUCAAUGUUUUAACUUCCACUUUUCAAAUAUGUCGUAUAUGAACAAAUACGGUAAUUCCCUGAGUAACUGCUCACUGGUCUGCUCCCAGGCCUCGAAGGAAUCCCCCAGGCUCUGCACUAUGGGUUUCCAAAUUUAUCCCCCCAGCCGUCCUUGUGGCUCUUGUGGUUGGUCCGUGGCCUGAAACUUAACUUGCCCAGCAGUUCUGUUUCCCGAAAUAGACUCAGGAAGUUUGUGACCAUGUUUGGUUUGUUCCAAGGGAGCUGCAUUUAUUUAAUGAGGUUGUGAACAUACACUACGAUUUGUAUAUGGCUCAUCAAAUAAAAUACAUCUUCAACUCUCUCUUUCACUUCAGUACGUGGUUUGGAGUAGGCUGUUUUACAAGCCCAUGUGUUUAUCAUAUGACUUUCUUUGGGGACAAACAUGAUUUCUUACAUUUAGGAUACAGUUUCUGCGUGUCCAAACACUUUUACUUCAUUCCUCCCUAUUCAAGAAAAAAAAACAUGAAGCUUUGGAGUCCUUUCUCAUUAUUUAUAGCAGGUUUCUCUGGAUGGUAAGGUAUUUUAUUUAAUUCAAGUGUGCCCAUCUACCAUGGUAGGGAGAUUAAAACAACAAAAAAACAAAAACCAACCUGUGGCUUAACAUCCCUUUUCACCCAAAAAGGCAUGUAAGUAAUGUCUUCCUGGGAAUAGGAACCCUCUUAUCAACUACGUGCAUUUAUGAGAGUAAUGUUUUCCACUAGUUUGUGUACCAGAUGGGGAGCCAGGAGCCUUGAUCUCCCUCAACCUCUCUGUGACAUGAGGCAAAUCAUUUACCUCCUAGGUCAGUGGCUUCUUUUAUUUUUAUACGAAAUAUCUUCCCUAACACGACAAAAGAUUGUGACUAAUAUUGAUAAUAGCUAUAAAAUACAUUUUCUUCUCUAAGCCUCUGUCAUAACAUAUAGAGCACCAGGGGUGGUAUUUUACUAAAUGAGCCUUGGUGAGUAGUUAAAUGACUCACCCAAUAUCUUCCAGUUUACUAUAUAAUGCAAUAAAGCACAUUCUAUGAAUAAGCCAAAUGGAUAAAAUGUCUUUCCUUUGAUGAUUCAGAUCCAAUCCAAUCAAGAAGAAUAUUCCAUAGAGCUUAUUUCCUGUAAUUGUAGAGAUAAAAUUGAUUUUCUCAUAUUUUUCUCAUGUUUUUUUUUUCCUCCCAGUGUUUGCUGCAGUUACCGAUUGUGAAAGAAGACUAAAAAAAGAAUUUAUUAUUUAAAACUUCACAAACUUCAUGGUGCUUCUUUUGGAAAUAAAAUGUAGAGCUGGUAUGUCUGUAUCAAAUUCUGAUGAGGACUCUUUCUUAGAACUUUACAGGAAAAGAAAAAAAACAGGUGAAAUGGAGAUUGCACAAUCUUGUCUUGAAGCAGGAGACUUAUCUGGAAACUUCUGGCAUUCCUUAGUACAAUUCAAAUGAUACUGAAAAAAAUCAGCUGGUCUUUUCACUUCCCCUUGGUCUGGGUCAAAGAUUUAGCGAGUGUAGUUAGUGAGUUCAGGGGGUGGGGUCAAGGAUUAGAGGCUCUAUCGGUGUGGUGGCUAACACGUGAGCAAGUAAGUAUGUUGAGGUCAGAUGCUUUUCUCUGGCACCUCUUGGGACGAGCACUGGGUGUUGUAUGGAAACCAAUUUGGCAAUAAAUUUCAUGUUAAAAAAAUAAAUAAAUAAAAUAAAAAGUAGAAUUAAAAACUUUUUAAAAGUUAAGGUGGUUAAGAAAUUAAUCCUGACAGAAUAGCUGAUGAUACGUUUAUCUUAUGUAGACACACACACACACACACACACACACACACACGUGCACACGUGUGCUACACAGUAUCUUUGUGUUUCUUAUGUGUGAAUACGUUUAUAGGUAUAUCCUAAUUUUUCUAAUUUCUCUAAGGUUCUGAUACAUUUCAGAGCGAGAGAAGAAAAAUUUGCAAAGUAGUUCAGUAACACAAUAAAAAGGGAAGACUUUUGAAUGUGUAAAAGAUUUAUUUCAAGUGUUAACAGUUAUAAGGUAUUGUUCUAAAUGACCAUCAUUAUGGAUUUGAGCACCAAAUUAGAAUAUAGUGAAAAGAUAAAAACAUUUAAGUUUGUUCUGAUUUUUGAAAUAUUGGUCACUUAAAACCUUCUCUAAUAAAGAUAAGUGCAUUAGUUAAGGCUGCCUAAGGGCAAGUCUGAUUUGUUUCCUGGAUAUUAAUGAAUACUUUAUGUGACUAUUUACUCCUGUAUGAAAUAAAAAGAGGUAUUCCUACAGCA